rnacentral:rRNA from 1 species
AGCAGCCGCGGUAAUUCCAGCUCCAAUAGCGUAUAUUAAAGUUGCUGCAGUUAAAAAGCUCGUAGUUGAAUUUCGGGACCAUCAUGUCGGUCGUGCCUCGGUACGUACUGGCAUUGUUGGUUUCUCCCUUCUGACGAACCAUGAUGUCAUUAAUUUGGUGUUAUGGGAAAUCAGGACUGUUACUUUGAAAAAAUUAGAGUGUUUAAAGCAGGCAUUAGCUUGAAUACAUUAGCAUGGAAUAAUGAAAUAGGACGUUCGAACCUAUUUUGUUGGUUUUUAGGAUCAACGUAAUGAUUAAUAGGGAUAGUUGGGGGCAUUAGUAUUCAAUUGUCAGAGGUGAAAUUCUUGGAUUUAUUGAAGACUAACUACUGCGAAAGCAUUUGCCAAGGAUGUUUUCAUUAAUCAAGAACGAAAGUUAGGGGAUCGAAGACGAUCAGAUACCGUCGUAGU